UGAGGAAGCGAGGCUUCGGUGAGGCUAAUCUCCCGGCCCCCCACUUCUUUGGACCCUAGCAAGGACAUUCAGUAAAGUUUUUUUUUUCUCUUUCACUCUCCAUACGACUAGGCCUUUCUUAUCUUUUUUUUGCCCUGCAUUGACGCAAUCUCUUUCUCACGGGAGUGUUACUGCCUGUCUGGAGCGUUGUACUAAAUAUUUACGAGAGUGGAAUUAAGUUGGAGUGGGCGCUGAAAUAAAUAAUACUAAUUCGAAGAGUGAUGCUGCACGGAAUAGACCAAGAACACUGGUUUUCGACAAUGUUCUGGAACAAGACCUAUUUCAAUAGUGAAGCUGGAUAUGAGGAACCAGCCUGACAACGAAUCAACGAAGUCGUAUGAGGACCACUGUUGUCGUUGAUAUAACCGUCGGAUGGACGGACGGACGGAUGGACGGGCUAAGAAUACCCCGCUUCGAGCACCUAACUGCUGUAAUGCGGAUAUCCAAGCAUACGGGGACGACGCAUCAAGCUUGACGUCGACCAUGAACAUGCAUGAGCCGUUUGGUCAACCACCGCCGGCAGUGACACCCGAGCGAACUUUUGAAAGGGAGCAGCAACAAGCAGAGGCUCGCUUAUAGAUGGGCUCAGUGGCGCCAUCGCAGGCGUCAUCAGCGACCAUUCAUUCUUUGUUGCACAGAAGAUGUCAUGGCUGGACUGCUGGGCUAAAACCUGCAAAGAAACAGCUUUAUUGGAUAUAGGAUGAAGGGAACUUCAUGCAGGAAACACCGCGUUGGAGCUGUGUGCGAUAACUCGGGAUACUGAGCUUUGUCUGGACAGAAAACAGAAGGAAUUUCCGACAAGGAUAGUAGCCAUCAGUGUGAACAUUGAUGGUACCGUUCACAAAUUCAAAUCCACCACGUUACCUCAUCCGUUGCAGCAUAUAAUAAAACAUAAUGGAG